rnacentral:rRNA from 1 species
CACGUAGGGUGCGAGCGUUGUCCGGAAUUAUUGGGCGUAAAGAGCUCGUAGGCGGUGUGUCGCGUCGGCCGUGAAAACCUGGGGCUUAACUCUGGGCGUGCGGUCGAUACGGGCAUCACUGGAGUUCGGCAGGGGAGACUGGAAUUCCUGGUGUAGCGGUGAAAUGCGCAGAUAUCGGGAGGAACACCGGUGGCGAAGGCGGUUCUCUGGGCCUUACCUGACGCUGAGGAGCGAAAGCGUGGGGAGCGAACAGG